AUACGUAGGGUGCGAGCGUUAAUCGGAAUUACUGGGCGUAAAGCGUGCGCAGGCGGUUUUGUAAGACAGUGGUGAAAUCCCCGGGCUCCACCUGGGAACUGCCAUUGUGACUGCAAGGCUGGAGUGUGGCAGAGGGGGGUGGAAUUCCGCGUGUAGGAGUGGAAUGCGUAGAUAUGCGGAGGAACACCGAUGGCGAAGGCAAUCCCCUGGGCCUGCACUGACGCUCAUGCACGAAAGCGUGGGGAGCAAACAGGAUUAGAUACCCUGGUAGUCCACGCCCUAAACGAUGUCAACUGGUUGUUGGGAAUUUAUUUUCUCAGUAACGAAGCUAACGCGUGAAGUUGACCGCCUGGGGAGUACGGCCGCAAGGUUAAAACUUAAAGGAAUUGACGGGG
rnacentral:rRNA from 1 species